GCGGGAGGAAGGUCCGGACUCCAUAGAGCAGGGUGACGGUUAACGGCCGUCCGCUGAAAGCCGUAAGCAACUUGUUGCCCAAGGUAUAAGGCGAGGAAUAGGGCCACAGAGACGAGCGUAUUAAGUUACGGUGAAACGCGGUAACCUCCACCUGGAGCAAUUCCAAAUAGGCAUGCGUUGAGGCGGCUCGCGGAGCAUGCGGGUAGGAAGCUUGAGCGCCGGAGUAAUUCGGCGCCUAGAGGAAUGGCUGUCAUAGCUAGAUUGCAAGAUUUAGCCGUAACAAAAUCCGGCCUAUCGGCCUGCUUCAUUU
rnacentral:RNase_P_RNA from 1 species